UGUGUCAUGGUUUCAGAAAUAGUGCAUUAUCUAAACUGAAAAACAGAAUGUCAUAGAUGGCCCAAAAAAUAAGAGCAGGAGUAACUUCUAACUUCCCCAGUGAUUUUCUUUGUGGGUAGCUGACAGGGAGCAUUGGAAAUCUUCCUUUCUUCCCGUUCCUUCUUCCCUUCCCUUGCCAGGAGGCUGGUAAGUGGCUGCUGGCAGGAAAUCAACCCUGACUGUACUUUGGAAGGACAAAUACUGAAGCUGAAGCUCAAAUACUUUAGCCACCAAAUGAGAAGAGAGGAGACUUUGGAAAAGAUCCUGAUGUUUCGGAACGAUUGAAGGCAACGAGAGAAGGGGAUGGUAGAGAAUGAAUAUAAAUCAAGUACCAUCAGAUUCUUGGCCAUCUGAUCAAGAACAAGGAAAGUCUUCAAGAGGAAGAGAAAUAACGCCAAUCCUCUUCCUGAAUUUAUUUGUCUUACCUACGAAAGUUCUUUGGUGAAGAAGUGAGGUCG